rnacentral:rRNA from 1 species
GGUGAACGCUAGCGGCAGGCCUAACACAUGCAAGUCGAGGGGUAGCAGGAUUAAGCUUGCUUAAUUGUUGACGACCGGCGCACGGGUGCGUAACGCGUAUGCAACCUACCUUAUACUGGGGUAUAGCCCGGAGAAAUUCGGAUUAAUCCCCCAUAGUACUAAUGAAUCGCAUGGUUUAUUAGUUAAAGCAUUGCGGUAUAAGAUGGGCAUGCGUCCUAUUAGCUAGAUGGUGAGGUAACGGCUCACCAUGGCUACGAUAGGUAGGGGGCCUGAGAGGGUGGUCCCCCACACCGGUACUGAGACACGGACCAGACUCCUACGGGAGGCAGCAGUGAGGAAUAUUGGUCAAUGGGCGCAAGCCUGAACCAGCCAUGCCGCGUGCAGGAAGAAUGCCCUAUGGGUUGUAAACUGCUUUUAUUUGGGAAUAAACCUCUUUACGUGUAGAGAGCUGAAGGUACCAAAUGAAUAAGCACCGGCUAACUCCGUGCCAGCCGCCGCGGUAA